UGCAAGUCGAGCGAAUGGAUUAAGAGCUUGCUCUUAUGAAGUUAGCGGCGGACGGGUGAGUAACACGUGGGUAACCUGCCCAUAAGACUGGGAUAACUCCGGGAAACCGGGGCUAAUACCGGAUAACAUUUUGAACCGCAUGGUUCGAAAUUGAAAGGCGGCUUCGGCUGUCACUUAUGGAUGGACCCGCGUCGCAUUAGCUAGUUGGUGAGGUAACGGCUCACCAAGGCAACGAUGCGUAGCCGACCUGAGAGGGUGAUCGGCCACACUGGGACUGAGACACGGCCCAGACUCCUACGGGAGGCAGCAGUAGGGAAUCUUCCGCAAUGGACGAAAGUCUGACGGAGCAACGCCGCGUGAGUGAUGAAGGCUUUCGGGUCGUAAAACUCUGUUGUUAGGGAAGAACAAGUGCUAGUUGAAUAAGCUGGCACCUUGACGGUACCUAACCAGAAAGCCACGGCUAACUACGUGCCAGCAGCCGCGGUAAUACGUAGGUGGCAAGCGUUAUCCGGAAUUAUUGGGCGUAAAGCGCGCGCAGGUGGUUUCUUAAGUCUGAUGUGAAAGCCCACGGCUCAACCGUGGAGGGUCAUUGGAGACUGGGAGACUUGAGUGCAAAAGAGGCGAGUGGAAAUCCAUGUGUAGCGGUGAAAUGCAUAGAGAUAUGGACGAA
rnacentral:rRNA from 1 species